rnacentral:rRNA from 1 species
AACGAACGCUGGCGGCAUGCCUAACACAUGCAAGUCGAACGAGACCUUCGGGUCUAUUGGCGCACGGGUGCGUAACGCGUGGGAAUCUACCCUCAGGUUCGGAAUAACUCAGAGAAAUUUGAGCUAAUACCGGAUGAUGACGUAAGUCCAAAGAUUUAUCGCCUGAGGAUGAGCCCGCGUAGGAUUAGGUAGUUGGUGAGGUAAAGGCUCACCAAGCCGACGAUCCUUAGCUGGUCUGAGAGGAUGAUCAGCCACACUGGGACUGAGACACGGCCCAGACUCCUACGGGAGGCAGCAGUGGGGAAUAUUGGACAAUGGGCGAAAGCCUGAUCCAGCAAUGCCGCGUGAGUGAUGAAGGCCUUAGGGUUGUAAAGCUCUUUUACCCGGGAUGAUAAUGACAGUACCGGGAGAAUAAGCUCCGGCUAACUCCGUG